AGUCUGGACCUGCAGCAGUGUUUCAAGUCUCUGCCCUUUCUUGCAGGUAAGUGCUAUUGUGGUUUAGUAUGGUUCUUUUAGCGAACAUUAGGCAGUGUAGGACCUGCCGAAUAUGGGGUACAUUGGCAUUGUGGCUGGCUUAUGCAAUGUAUGAUCAUAUAAUGUAACUAAAUCCCCAUACUUUUCAUAUAUAGUACUUAGUUAUGUCUCCUCUUGUUUUGCCUUUUAUAUCUUGUCUUGUUUUAUUUUGUAAUCCCAGUUUAUGUACAGUCCUGUCCUGCCCUGUUCUUGUUUUCAUUCUUGCUGCAGAGCCUCCCUAUUCAGCUCCUUCAAGUUCCUGGGAUCCACUGUAGCUGCAUCAGGGCUCUGGUAUGUGGCCGCACAAACUCUGGUGCUCAACACCAGAGGGCAAGUGGUUACCCAGCACCAGGCCCUGAUAAUCCACUUCCACGCUGAAGACUCUGCUCAUCUCCACAGCAGGCACUCAGGGGUCCCAGACCGCCACACACACACACCCUGCACCCUCUAUUUCUGUUCACUUUCUGUUUGUCUUGAAUAAUUUCAAAAGACUGUUUUAUCUUUCGCCAGCACCUACAACGUCUGCUGUUUAUUUGUUUUAGUGAACGUUUAAGUUUACUGUGAGUGUAUUGUCGGGAUACGCAAGGUGGCUUUUGGUAAUUUUGUUGCGGUUAUAGGUUUUGUUGAAUUUGACAUUAUUUGCGUAAUAAACUACAUAAAUUUAGCAACAUGUUUGGAAACCUGGGGAUAGUUUGCAGCUGCUACAAGGUACCAAUUUUUGUUAUUAGCAACAGCUUGCGACUACUGUUUACCAUCAAGCUUCUGCAAUCCUAUAUUGAAUUACAGAGAUUUCACCAGAUAUUUAAAUGUAUUUGCUUAUAUCAUAUGUAUGUGUGUGUGCGUGUAUGCGUGCGUGUAUGCGUGCGUGUAUGCGUGUGUGUGUAUAAAGUCAGAUUUAGUUUCCGUGGGUGAAAAAAAUAUAUGAUACAUAUUACAAAACGAUUCUUCAAUAAGAAUAAUGUACAUGCCUGUGUCUAUUAAAGAACUCUCACAUAUAAUUUCAUGCUGCAAGACCUUAUACUCGAUUGAUACCAACUUGAAAAAGAACAGAUAUACCCUGUCUUCAUUUAUGGCAGGGGUGCCCAAACAGUACACCCCCAGAUGUUUUAAAACUACGGCUUCCAUCAAGCUUUGUCAUUUUAAAGGCAUUUUAGAGGCACGCAAAGCAUCGUGGGAGUUGUAGUUCUACAACAUCUGGGGAUCUACCUAUUGGACAGGCCUGAUUUAUGGGAUUGUUCUUGUUUGUUGAGUAGACUAUUUAGGGAUCAUCUAUUAAUCUGUCUGUCUGUCUAUCUGUCUGUCUAUCUCGAUAAACAGGCAAAAAGAUAGAUAUUGGACUUUACUGUCCUUCCCCAUGUUGCACAAUAAUAUUGUCCUAUGUUGUAAAUGGUAAAUACUGAGUUUACUUCCAGUAAAGAUUUGUAUUUUGUGUCUGGGAAUGGUGAUUACAAACCUCUGGCAGUUUAAGAGAAAAUAUAUUAAUGAUUAUAUUUCUUACUGGAAGCAUGUUACUAAUUAUUAAAUUAUACGUGCAUGAUAAAGAACAGCUGAGCAAGAGAUUUACUCCUACAAAAUCAAACACUUUUUUUUGUUAAAGAAUAUUAGAAUAGUUAUUUGAAACCUGGGAUGAAUAAAACAGCGAUUUUAGUAGAAAGUGCUGUUCAAAGAUACAAAAAAUUAAAGUGAUUUACAUUUACAAAAUUCUAAUUUUUAUUUAUUCGUUCAUCAUUUACAGACAUUUUGAAGGAUGUAACAGUACGAACCUUAAUAGCUUGAUCUACUGGAUCCCAGCAUGGUAAAAAGUUUACUGCAGCCCAGCAAGAAUAAAAGUGCAUAAAUGGUAUUUAACUGCAUGUGUAUCUCAUCCACUACACUAGUGAAAAUCUCUCAGAGGGAGAAGAAAGACUCUUACAGAGAUGAAUUGAACUUGCAAUGCCAAUUCCUAUUUACAAAAUGCUCUAAGCCACAUACUCGUGGAAAAUGAAACAAUUACACUGCAAAUCCUAUAUUUGCUCUAGGCAGACAUAGGAUACUGUAAGUCCACUAAAUCACUUGUGUAGCAGGUGUCAGAUGAAAGUACCAUAUAACUAAUAUAAAUAACCCCUGAUAUACCAAAUUUAACUAAUAUAAAUCACCCUUGAUACACCAAUUUUAAGGUACACCUAUUUUAACAUAUGGACUGUAUUAACUAAACAGUAUGGUGAAACUAAC
rnacentral:lncRNA from 1 species